GGAGGGAUACCCAAGUGGCCAAAGGGGGCAGACUGUAAAUCUGUUGGCACCGCCUUCGAAGGUUCAAAUCCUUCUCCCUCCACCA
rnacentral:tRNA from 1 species